rnacentral:lncRNA from 13 species
CUUCCUGCCACCCACACUGCUCAGUGACCAUCCGCGGGGAUGAACGAGUUGGUUCCAUGGGAGGACCCUGGCCCCCACUGGUUGACCACAGCUGAUCG